ensembl:lncRNA
UGCCGUGGGCGGCGUCCGCCCAGCCACACCGCGGGGUCGGUGUUUGCCAACUGACGGACAAACUGCCUCUCCUCUGGUGUGUGGAGAGCAGCCAGGUGACCUCCUUUCUGAGCGCACGCAGCCUGUCGCACACACACACACACACACACACACACACACAUGUUAGAGUGGGUGCAUAUUCACGUGUGGCGAACUACUGAAUUAAAACGUCCACCUUGGCGUCGGUCCAGGAGCUCCACACGGGGUAGAAAGCGAAGCACCUGGGCCCAAAGAGGAGCCACCCGGCUGGACACGGAGAGGCCGGCGUGCUCCCCGCUGACACGGAGACCGACGUCUCCGCCAAGAGGACGGCCAACAGGAGACGAGCCGGCGCACAUUCCAUCAUCUCCUGUAACACACCACACAGGAAUGACGGGGAAUGAGAGACUCGUCUCCAGGAGGUCAAACCGGCCGUGGAACCAAAAUCUGCUUCCAUCUGAAGCCUGAGGGCGAGUAACCAGCUGGAGCGGUUUGGUCCUGAUGGUUAGCUGAUGUGUCUGAGACGUACCAGCCGGCAGCCUCCUUAAGCUCCGGUCCACGUCUCAGACCCUUACUGCUCCCCUGCUGAGGUUCUCCAGCUCGCAGGAACAACUGCUUUGGUUUACAGGUGUUUACAAAGAACUCCUUACUAAUCCACUACGGCCCCACGGCUACAUCCAACUAUUAAACCCUCAGGCGUUUUCUGGGAAACAGAAGACAAACACUGGAUCGCUUGAGGUGCCUGGGAUCUAAAUCCGCUGUUCGUUGUGAUGUUGUGUGUUUUUGUGUUUUUGUUGUGCCGCAUGUUUCCCCCGGUUUGUUUGUUCCGUCAUGUGUUUGUCUCUCUGUCGUUGUCCGUAUAGACGCUGCCCUCUGCUGCUUCCCGGCCUGUUGUCACCCACCUGCCCCCUAUCAUCUCCCUGGUUGUGUGUCGGAUUUGUUCCCCCUGUUUUCUUGUUAGCUUCCCUCAUAUUUGCUGUCCUGCUCCUAAAUGGUGGAAGGAGGUCUCUGAAGACAUCAG